AGAGCUGAUGUGAGACACUCGUAGUUGUUUUGCUUGAAAAAGUUCUCGAACAAAAUGGUAAUCAAGUGCUCAUAGAAGAGUGAAACACUGGGUUAGCACUUAUAAUAUGUUGCUCCUACAUUAUCGUGUUGUUGAGAUCGGUAUAUGAAAUUCAGAGAGUAAGAAGGCAAUCCUUUUGACUUAUAGAGUAGCAUCCUUCAGGCUUAUGUACUAAGAGUACGGUUGAACAAGACUAAGAGUACAACUCCUGGCGUGGCUAUGAUAUGCUCAGUUGAGCAUAUCGGCAUUGAGACGGGCAUUGCAUUUGCCCAUUUUUUCCACUUGAUUUGUGUGAGGAAAAGCCCCAAUGAGUUGGGAGUAGCUUCCAUCCCAAGAAUAUACAAAAGUGCACCAAAAUCCUUGAGAGAAAAUAUGUUGGCAAGAACCUUGAUGAACCGAAUAAUUGUAUCAUUUUAUUGUUUGUGAUGAUGAUAUUAUCUACAGAGAUGAUAUUACUAUAUACAUAAAGAAGAUAACUUGCACAGAAGACAAAUAAAAAUGCAUCCGCAAGAAGGGUUAACGAAACCAGCAUGAAUGAAGAAGUUGCGCAGGUCAUACCUUUUUUUCAACAAAAGAAAAAUAACUUUAUUCAGAAAUAUGACUUACAAAGAAUUGUUUUUAGUGUUCGGUAAAGUUCAAUCGUAUGACUCAUUCUACUUCUUUUCCCCAUCCCACUCUC
rnacentral:lncRNA from 1 species